UACGGGGGGAGCACGCGUUGUUCGGAUUUCCUGGGCGUAAAGGGCGCGUAGGCGGCCAGCACAAGUCAGUUGUGAAAUCUCCGAGCUUAACUCGGAAAGGUCAACUGAUACUGUGCGGCUAGAGUGCGGAAGGGGCAACUGGAAUUCUUGGUGUAGCGGUGAAAUGCGUAGAUAUCAAGAGGAACACCUGCGGCGAAGGCGGGUUGCGGGGCCGACACUGACGCUGAGGCGCGAAAGCCAGGGGAGCGAACGGG
rnacentral:rRNA from 1 species